AUACGCAGGGUGAGAGCGUUGUCCGGACUUACUGGGCGUCAAGAGCUCGUAGGUGGUUUGUCGCGUCGUCUGUGAAAUUCCGAGGCUUAACUCCGGGCGUGCAGGCGAUACGGGCAUAACUUGAGUACUGUAGGGGAGACUGGAAUUCCUGGUGUAGCGGUGAAAUGCGCAGAUAUCAGGAGGAACACCGGUGGCGAAGGCGGGUCUCUGGGCAGUAACUGACGCUGAGGAGCGAAAGCAUGGGUAGCGAACAGGAUUAGAUACCCUGGUAGUCCAUGCCGUAAACGGUGGGCGCUAGGUGUAGGGGUCUUCCACGACUUCUGUGCCGUAGCUAACGCAUUAAGCGCCCCGCCUGGGGAGUACGGCCGCAAGGCUAAAACUCAAAGGAAUUGACGGGG
rnacentral:rRNA from 1 species